GAUCAGCUGCUCUUGGGGGCUCGGGUGGCCUCUGCACGCAGCCCUGCGGGAAGCUGAGCCUGAGCAGGCAUUUUCCAGAACAAGGCGGCCAGCGUCGGGUACAGAAACCCGCUUUCCAAGUGGGGCAGGCUGGGUUGGAGCCCACGGCAGGGAUCCAGGAGCAGGGACACUUCUGGUUACAGUGCAACGCAGGGUGUGUACCCAGUGUAAAUUAAGUUUACCACACACAGUUCAUCCUAAUCGUCCUGGCUUGAGGCUGUGCUGGUCUGUAGAGAGGGAGAAAUGCAAAGAGAUGGAAAAUCAGCUCUGAAUCUGCCGCUGCAAAAAUCAAUUCCCUGGCUUCUCAUCUUCAGCAGACUUCUUGCCACUGGUGCAAAGCAGUAACAUCUCUUCCUCCUGAUUCCCCUGCCUGCACUUUAGACUGUAACACAACAAUGUUACAAAUCAAUGAA